rnacentral:rRNA from 1 species
AGAGUUUGAUCCUGGCUCAGAUUGAACGCUGGCGGCAUGCCUUACACAUGCAAGUCGAACGGUAACAGGUCUUCGGAUGCUGACGAGUGGCGAACGGGUGAGUAAUACAUCGGAACGUGCCCGAUCGUGGGGGAUAACGGAGCGAAAGCUUUGCUAAUACCGCAUACGAUCUACGGAUGAAAGCAGGGGACCGCAAGGCCUUGCGCGGACGGAGCGGCCGAUGGCAGAUUAGGUAGUUGGUGGGAUAAAAGCUUACCAAGCCGACGAUCUGUAGCUGGUCUGAGAGGACGACCAGCCACACUGGGACUGAGACGCGGCCCAGACUCCUACGGGAGGCAGCAGUGGGGAAUUUUGGACAAUGGGCGAAAGCCUGAUCCAGCCAUGCCGCGUGCAGGAUGAAGGCCUUCGGGUUGUAAACUGCUUUUGUACGGAACGAAAAGACUCCUUCUAAUAAAGGGGGUCCAUGACGGUACCGUAAGAAUAAGCACCGGCUAACUACGUGCCAGCAGCCGCGGUAAUACGUAGGGUGCAAGCGUUAAUCGGAAUUACUGGGCGUAAAGCGUGCGCAGGCGGUUAUAUAAGACAGAUGUGAAAUCCCCGGGCUCAACCUGGGAACUGCAUUUGUGACUGUAUAGCUAGAGUACGGUAGAGGGGGAUGGAAUUCCGCGUGUAGCAGUGAAAUGCGUAGAUAUGCGGAGGAACACCGAUGGCGAAGGCAAUCCCCUGGACCUGUACUGACGCUCAUGCACGAAAGCGUGGGGAGCAAACAGGAUUAGAUACCCUGGUAGUCC